GGCAAAUCCACAGAGACAGAAUGUAGACUAGGGGUUGCCAGGGGCUGAGCGAUGGAGGGGUGCGAAGUAGCUGCUAACUAGGGUUUCGCUGGCUCGGAUCCUGACCUAGGAGGGCUCAUCAAGUUAUGCUGAGGCGGCGUCCCACACGGCAGAACCAGAAGGACCUACAACUAGAAUAUACGACCAGAGUUUGUGACUCAUUGAAUAUCGCCUGCCCAAACAUACGCUGAGCUCCCAGGUAUGUCCCGGAAGUGGAAGGGUGGGGGUUGAUGGGGUGUCAUUGGUAACCCAAACAGCAGAUAUAAUCCCUGACCUCAGUUCUUCCUUGCUUCUUUUCCUCC